CCAGGACCUCUGGGAGCAGCACAUACAAAUACUGUUUAAGAAUUUGCCACACCAAUGGACCAUACAACCAGCUACCACAACUACCAACAUUCCUACCACAACUACCACCAUCGACCUGCCGGAUAGUGGUUGGCAGGUCUUCCGGGACAUGGCCAAGGUCCGGUUUUACUGCAAUCACUGUGGCGACGGGUGGACCAGUAUGUAUGGGAGUGUCACAUUCUACUAUCACCCAACUACUACUACUACUACUACUACUACUACUACUACUACUACUACUGGACGCAUCUUCUACCACUUACCAGGCCAGAGGUGUGGUGGUGGUGGUGGUGGUUGUAGUAGUAGUGGUUAUUGUCAGCCACUGUGGUACCCGGAGGAGAUACAGAAGGUCAUAACAAACUUAUACUACGCCAUUGCCACAAAUAUAUACCGAUUAAUAACGCCACAGUUCAUUAAAACGAGGCGCCUUGGCCGUCCCGGGACCUUCCAUAACCGUAGGCUGUGCGAGGGUUGUUAUAUCGGGGUCUGCAAGUGAGAGGGAGAGAUGGAGAGAAAAGUGAGA